ACUCAAAGGAAUUGACGGGGGCCCGCACAAGCGGUGGAGUAUGUGGUUUAAUUCGAAGCAACGCGCAGAACCUUACCUGGUCUUGACAUCCGGUGACCGCGGCAGAGAUGUCGUUUUCCCUUCGGGGACACCGAGACAGGUGCUGCAUGGCUGUCGUCAGCUCGUGUUGUGAAAUGUUCGGUUAAGUCCGGCAACGAGCGCAACCCCUGUCCUUAGUUACCAUCAUUAAGUUGGGGACUCUAGGGAGACUGCCGAUGUUAAAUCGGAGGAAGGCGGGGAUGACGUCAAGUCCUCAUGGCCCUUACGACCAGGGCUACACACGUACUACAAUGGCAGAAACAAAGGGUUGCAGAGCCGCAAGGUGAAGCUAAUCCCAAAAACACUGUCUCAGUCCGGAUUGUAGUCUGCAACUCGACUACAUGAAGUUGGAAUCGCUAGUAAUCGCAGAUCAGCACGCUGCGGUGAAUACGUUCCCGGGCCUUGUACACACCGCCCGU
rnacentral:rRNA from 1 species